ACAGGGGAGCGCCACCGCGGCGCUGAGAGUGCUAUGCAGACCCUCGAACCUGAUCCGGUUAGUACCGGUGUAGGGAGUCGGAU
rnacentral:ncRNA from 1 species